rnacentral:rRNA from 1 species
UACGUAGGGGGCUAGCGUUGUCCGGAAUCAUUGGGCGUAAAGAGCGUGUAGGCGGCCCGGUAAGUCCGCUGUGAAAGUCGGGGGCUCAACCCUCGAAUGCCGGUGGAUACUGUCGGGCUAGAGUGCGGAAGAGGCGAGUGGAAUUCCUGGUGUAGCGGUGAAAUGCGCAGAUAUCAGGAGGAACACCAAUGGCGAAGGCAGCACUCUGGGACGUGACUGACGCUGAGACGCGAAAGCGUGGGGAGCGAACAGG